CUAUGUACGGAAUGGAUAAGCGCUGAAAGCAUCUAAGCGCGAAGCCAACUUCAAGAUAAGAUUUCCCACCGCAAGGGUAAGACUCCAGAAAGACUAUCUGGUUGAUAGGUCGAAGGUGUAAGUGCAGCAAUGUAUUUAGCUUAUCGAUACUAAUAGGUCGAGGACUUGACCAA
rnacentral:rRNA from 1 species